ensembl:lncRNA
UGUUGGUUAGGUGUCAUACUGUGACAUCACUUACAGAGAGAGCCUCAAGCCUCAACCCAAGCACAGGAAGUUAGUCGCCUGCUGCCUCAGUCCACUCAAGCAACUGAAGCAGCAGCAGCAGCAGCGGUGGAAACCGAGGUGGAGCAGCACAAGCAACAGGGGUGGUGAAAGCAGCCCCCAUCCCUGCCCGAGUUCUCUCCCCUUCGUCUGAACCGGUGUACCUAGACUGAACAGAGAAGUCCGUGGAGACUCCAGCGUGCAGAACUCUACACAUUUGAGAACCUGGCCUACCUCUCCAACAUACAUACCCUAGUGAAAGAGGAUCAAGCUCUCUUAUGCUUGUCUUAUUAGAAAAGAAUGAACAAUCUGAACAAGGAGAUAAACAAUAAGGGGGAAAGAAGAACUUUCCAGAACUUUCUCACCAACCCUUGUAAGUAAAGCUGUGCUUGGUAG